rnacentral:tRNA from 1 species
AAAAAGAUAAGCUAAUAAAGCUACUGGGUUCAUACCUCAUUUAUGAAAGUUCUAAUCUUUCUCUUUUUA